GGCUAGACCAUUGUUCUGCCUUCUGCCGUAGGUCAGGUGGAUGUUUCAGCUCACAGACGGAUGGCCUGACACAGAGCAGAAUUCAACGUCCCUUCUAUUAAGGCAAGUCAUCCAGUUCCUGAGGCAGCAAAGCAUCCUCAAAUCAUAACACUACCACCACCACGCUUGACCGUUGGUCUGAGGUUCUUACUUUGGAAUGGAGUGUUUGGUUUUCGGCAGACAUAAUGGGACCCAUCUCAUCCAAUAUUAGUUUUGCAUUCCGUAUACAAAACUUGAGAAAAUUAGAAGGGGGGAAAAUACUAUUUUAACAGCACUGUGUAUCAUGAUAAUACAUUAUUAUAAGCAGAGGUGUAAUGCGCCCCAAAAAUCUAAGGGGGUACAAAGUAUUGAAGGAUGGCUGGUAGUUGUAGAACUUAGCAUUUUUUAAACACCUAACAUAGCUUUUUCCUGCAAUCUAGAGUCAUAAUCAUUGUUACAGAUACAGGUAUCAUGUGUGUAUGUAUCCUGUGUACUUUUCUCGCCUUCUCCCCUCACAGGUGAAAAUCAUCACUCCCCAAUCAGUCACCAAUCAAUCAUCAAUCAGAAGACACACCUCCUCCUGUUUCCUACCCAAUCACAGUUCCUUUCCCUUGGUUUAAAAACCCUGUCAGUUGUUUGCUCUGGAGCUCAAUCUCUCUGUAAAUGCCAUAUGUCUGUAGAUCGCUAGGGUUCACUCGCGCCUACGAUGGCUAUCUCUCUUUAUGUAUUGAGCUCUCUUUUGUUUGAGCAUCUCCAUAUCACUUUGUCCUCACCUGUGAGUAUUGCUUUUUUUGUUAUGGUGUUUUUUUGCUGGUGGGAAAAGGGGGAACCAAGACAAGUCGCCCAUGGGCAUACACUACCUGUAGGUAAACUUUGUCAAAAACACUAGUUAGAACUGGGCGGACCACCCACUGUAUUUUUGGUUAGUUAGCUAGCUGUUGAAAUAGGCUAGUCUAGCUUAGGGGUGUUUUUUGAAUACUUAUUAUUUCUUUCCUUGGGUCCAGCUCAGCCCCUUUUCCUGCUCCCCCCAUUACCGUGUGUUUUCUAAAAAACCAUGUGUUUGACGGUAAUUUAGUUGUCUGUGGUUGUCGUUCUCACUUUUUCACUUAUAAUUUGCAUGAGUUAUGUUACGGGUCUUGUUACAUCUCCCCUAGACUGUCGGGCCAAAAGGGAUUCGUAACGAUCAUUAUACUUAAUUUCAUAUUAAAUGUGUCACGACUUCCGCCGAAGUCGGUUCCUCGCCUUGUUUGGGUGGCGGUAGUCACCGGUCUUCUAGCCAUCACCGAUCCACCUUUCAUUUCCAUUUGUUUUGUCUUUUCCCACACACCUGUUUUACAUUUCCCUCAUUACUUGUGUAUUUAACCCUCUGUUCCCCCCAUGUCUGGGUGAAAUUGUUUGUAAGUGCUUGUGCACAUUUUAACUGGUGGCGACGGGUUUUGUACCCAUAUUUUGUAUUUCUGGAUGCCG
ensembl:lncRNA